UACGUAGGGUGCGAGCGUUGUCCGGAAUUACUGGGCGUAAAGAGCUCGUAGGCGGUUUGUCGCGUCUGCCGUGAAAGUCCGGGGCUCAACUCCGGAUCUGCGGUGGGUACGGGCAGACUAGAGUGAUGUAGGGGAGACUGGAAUUCCUGAUGUAGCGGUGAAAUGCGCAGAUAUCAGGAGGAACAGCCGAUGGCGAAGGCAGGUCUCUGGGCAUUAACUGACGGUGAGGAGCGAAAGCUGGGGAGCAACGG
rnacentral:rRNA from 1 species